UACGUAGGGACCAAGCGUUGUCCGGAAUCAUUGGGCGUAAAGAGCGCGUAGGCGGCUUGUUAAGUCUUGCGUGAAAUCUCGGGGCUCAACCCCGAGCGGUCGUGAGAAACUGGCAGGCUAGAGUGCGGGAGAGGAGAGUGGAAUUCCUGGUGUAGCGGUGAAAUGCGCAGAUAUCAGGAGGAACACCGAUGGCGAAGGCAGGUCUCUGGGCCGCUACUGACGCUGAGAAGCGAAAGCAUGGGGAGCGAACAGG
rnacentral:rRNA from 1 species